GACGAACGCUGGCGGCGUGCUUAACACAUGCAAGUCGAACGAAGUGGCGAACGGGUGAGUAACGCGUAAUCAACCUGCCCUUCCGAGGGGGACAACAGUUGGACACGACUGCUAAUACCGCAUACUGAGGGAGGGGAUUGCGUCUGAUUGGCUAGUUGGAGGGGUAACGGCCCACCAAGGGGAUGAUCAGUAGCCGGUCUGAGAGGAUGAACGGCCACAUUGUGACUGAGACACGGCCCAGACUCCUGCUGUAGGCAGCAGUGGGGAAUCUUCCGCAAUGGACGAAAGUCUGACUGAGCAACGCCGCGGGAGUGAUGACGGCCUUCGGGUGGUAAAGCUCUGUUAAUCGGGACGCGGUACCGGAAUAGAAAGCCACGGCUAACUACGUGCCAGCAGCCGCGGUAAUUC
rnacentral:rRNA from 1 species